rnacentral:RNase_P_RNA from 1 species
ACAGUAGGCCGGUUUGUCGCUGGCUGCCGUAAGGCAGAAAGAGGAAAGUCCGGGCAACACAGAGCAUCGUACUUCUUAAUGGGAAGCUGUUCGUGAGGGCAGAGUUUAAGGUAACAGAAAAUGACCGCCUUAGGGUAAGGGUGAAAAGGUGAGGUAAGAGCUCACCGGUCUGUAUAGCAAUAUACAGAGCCGUACUACUUGCGAGUUGUAAGACCAUGUAUACCGGCGUAUGUAGGGCUGCUCGCCCGAUGUCGGGGGGUAGGUUGCUAGAGUCUGUCGGUGACGGCUGGCGUAGAUAAAUGACAAACACCUGUUUCUACAGGACACAGAACCCGGCUUACAGGCUUACUGUUUUU